AUUUUGGUUCUAUGGAGAUGAAACCAGGACUUACUUUCUUAACAGGUGUAAAGGGUGGAGUUUUAAAAGAAUCUAGCGAAAAUUCACGAGGUUCAUCGACUUCAACAUAAUCUCGAAGAGCAGCGGAAACUCUUUCCAUGGCAUGGAUAUAAGCCAAGUGUCCAGAAGCAAAUCGCAUCCUCUGUUCCACUGCUUGUUUAAUAAACUUCUUUCGGUCUUUACAAAGUUG
rnacentral:misc_RNA from 1 species